UACGUAGGGUGCAAGCGUUAAUCGGAAUUAUUGGGCGUAAAGGGUGCGCAGGCGGAUGUAUAAGUCAGAUGUGAAAUCCCCGGGCUUAACCUGGGAAUUGCGUUUGAAACUAUAUGACUAGAGUGUGAUAGAGGGGAGUGGAAUUCCAUGUGUAGCAGUGAAAUGCGUAGAGAUGUGGAAGAACACCGAUGGCGAAGGCAGCUCCCUGGAUUAGCACUGACGCUCAUGCACGAAAGCGUGGGAAGCAAACAGG
rnacentral:rRNA from 1 species